rnacentral:rRNA from 1 species
UUUAAAGUCUGGCCUGCCCAAUGAUUUAAUUAUUUAAUGGCCGCAGUAUUUUGACUGUGCAAAGGUAGCAUAAUCAUUAGUUUUUUAAUUGAAAGCUAGUAUGAAUGGUUUAAUGAAAAAAUAGCUGUCUCAUUUAUAAAUUUAGAAUUUUAUUUUUAAGUUAAAAAGCUUAAAUUAUUUAAAAAGACGAGAAGACCCUAUAGAGUUUGAUAUAAUAAAUUUAAAUAUUAAAAUUUAGAUUUAUUAAUAAUUUUAUAUUUAUUAUGUUUCAUUGGGGUGAUGAAAAAAUUUAGUAAACUUUUUAUUAAUUUAAACAUUAAUAUAUGAAAUUUUGAUCCUAAAAUUUAGAUUAUAAGAAAAAAUUACCUUAGGGAUAACAGCGUAAUUUUUUUUUAGAGUUCUAAUCGAAAAAAAAGAUUGCGACCUCGAUGUUGGAUUAAAAUUAAGUUAUGGUGUAGAAGCUAUAAAUUUAGGUCUGUUCGACCUUUAAAAUUUUACA